rnacentral:tRNA from 1 species
AGCCCUGUGGUGAGUAUCACAUCAAAUUGCAAAUUUGAAGAAGUUCCUUUAGG